GACGCGCGACUGAAGCUGCUUGCAGUGGACGUUGAUUGACGUGAGUGGCGGACGGGUGAGUAACACGUGGGUAACCUACCCUUAAGUGGGGGAUAACAUUUGGAAACAGAUGCUAAUACCGCAUAACCAUUCAGACCACAUGGUCUGAAUGUAAAAGACGGCCUUUGGCUGUCACUUUUGGACGGACCCGCGGCGUAUUAGUUAGUUGGUAAGGUAACGGCUUACCAAGACAAUGAUACGUAGCCGACCUGAGAGGGUAAUCGGCCACAUUGGGACUGAGACACGGCCCAAUCUAAUACGGGAGGCAGCAGUAGGGAAUCUUCCACAAUGGACGAAAGUCUGAUGGAGCAACGCCGCGUGAGUGAAGAAGGUUUUAGGAUCGUAAAACUCUGUUGUUGGAGAAGAACAGGGACUAGAGUAACUGUUAGUCCUUUGACGGUAUCCAACCAGAAAGCCACGGCUAACUACGUGCCAGCAGCCGCGGUAAUACGUAGGUGGCAAGCGCUGUCCGGAUUUAUUGGGCGUAAAGCGAGCGCAGGCGGUUUUUUAAGUCUGAUGUGAAAGCCUUCGGCUUAACCGAAGAAGUGCAUUAGAAACUGGGAAACUUGAGUGCAGAAGAGGACAGUGGAACUCCAUGUGUAGCGGUGAAAUGCGUAGAUAUAUGGAAGAACACCAGUGGCGAAGGCGGCUGUCUGGUCUGUAACUGACGCUGAGGCUCGAAAGUAUGGGGAGCGAACAGGAUUAGAUACCCUGGUAGUCCAUACCGUAAACGAUGAAUGCUAAGUGUUGGAGGGUUUCCGCCCUUCAGUGCUGCAGCUAACGCAUUAAGCAUUCCGCCUGGGGAGUACGACCGCAAGGUUGAAACUCAAAGGAAUUGACGGGGGCCCGCACAAGCGGUGGAGCAUGUGGUUUAAUUCGAAGCACGCGAAGAACCUUACCAGGUCUUGACAUCCUUUGACCACUGUAGAGAUACAGCUUUCCCUUCGGGGACAAAGUGACAGGUGGUGCAUGGUUGUCGUCAGCUCGUGUCGUGAGAUGUUGGGUUAAGUCCCGCAACGAGCGCAACCCUUAUGACUAGUUGCCAGCAUUUAGUUGGGCACUCUAGUAAGACUGCCGGUGACAAACCGGAGGAAGGUGGGGAUGACGUCAAAUCAGCAUGCCCCUUAUGACCUGGGCUACACACGUGCUACAAUGGUCGGUACAACGAGUUGCGAACCCGCGAGGGUAAGCUAAUCUCUUAAAGCCGAUCUCAGUUCGGAUUGUAGGCUGCAACUCGCCUACAUGAAGCCGGAAUCGCUAGUAAUCGCGGAUCAGCACGCCGCGGUGAAUACGUUCCCGGGCCUUGUACACACCGCCCGUCACACCAUGAGAGUUUGUAACACCCGAAGUCGGU
rnacentral:rRNA from 1 species